GCGAUUCGAAGGUUUGGGCGAAAACAAGGUCGUAACUUUGGGCGACUGCAAUGUACUUCAUUCGCUCAGGUCUUGGGCGUCUUGUAAGUUUGGGCGAUGGUAUUACCGCGUUCGUGGGCUUCCACUGCAUUCCUUAAUAACCCUAUUUGGGCUUUUAUCCUGAAUUGCCCAGUUGAGCUUCAUUCUUUGGAUUAUUCGAAUUGGACUGCACUUUUAACGUGUCAACACUUGGUGAUUGGAUUAAGGGACAAUUCUUCUAUGGACCAAUUAUUUGAGAACGGAUUCGAAGCUUUUAGAAUCAGUUUUCAUAUAAUAUUUUUCAUCCUUGUUCUUUUAAAUUGCCUUUUUUUGAUAUCCUUUCAUGAGUUCAUCUUGAACUCAUAUAAAGUGGCUCACCUUAAAUCCUUUAGCCAUUGGUCGUAGUCUGUAGAUAAGCUACCUUCUUAUGAAAUACUUUUUGGGUUUAUAGGCACAUAGUUUACAUGUAGAUUUUUCGAAAUUAUAGUGCGGAAGAGCUCAAAACUGAUGUGAAUAUAGCGAUCUUGAA
rnacentral:lncRNA from 1 species